rnacentral:tRNA from 1 species
GCCCAAGUAGCUCAGUGGAAGAGCAGUGGCCUUCUAAGCCAAAGGUCGUAGGUUCGAUCCCUGCCUUGGGUACCA